GACGAACGCUGGCGGCGUGCCUAAUACAUGCAAGUCGAGCGGAAUGAUGGGAGCUUGCUCCCUGAAUUUAGCGGCGGACGGGUGAGUAACACGUGGGCAACCUACCUUGUAGAUUGGGAUAACUCCGGGAAACCGGGGCUAAUACCGAAUAAUCCAUCUUGCUUCAUGGCGAGAUGUUAAAAGGCGGCUUCGGCUGUCACUGCAAGAUGGGCCCGCGGCGCAUUAGCUAGUUGGUAGGGUAACGGCCUACCAAGGCGACGAUGCGUAGCCGACCUGAGAGGGUGAUCGGCCACACUGGGACUGAGACACGGCCCAGACUCCUACGGGAGGCAGCAGUAGGGAAUCUUCCACAAUGGACGAAAGUCUGAUGGAGCAACGCCGCGUGAGUGAAGAAGGUUUUCGGAUCGUGAAACUACUGUUGUAAGGGAAGAACACGUACGAGGGUAACUGCUCGUACCUUGACGGUACCUUAUUAGAAAGCCACGGCUAACUACGUGCCAGCAGCCGAC
rnacentral:rRNA from 1 species